rnacentral:rRNA from 1 species
AUACGUAGGGGGCGAGCGUUGUCCGGAAUGAUUGGGCGUAAAGGGUGCGUAGGCGGCCCGGUAAGUCUGGAGUGAAAGUCCUGUUUUUAAGAUGGGAAUUGCUUUGGAUACUGUCGGACUUGAGUGCAGGAGAGGUAAGUGGAAUUCCCAGUGUAGCGGUGAAAUGCGUAGAGAUUGGGAGGAACACCAGUGGCGAAGGCGACUUACUGGACUGUAACUGACGCUGAGGCGCGAAAGUGUGGGGAGCAAACAGGAUUAGAUACCCUGGUAGUCCACACUGUAAACGAUGAAUGCUAGGUGUAGGGGGUAUCGACCCCUUCUGUGCCGCAGUCAACACAAUAAGCAUUCCGCCUGGGGAGUACGGCCGCAAGGUUGAAACUCAAAUGAAUUGACGGGG